UGGGGAAUUUUGGACAAUGGGGGGAAACCCUGAUCCAGCCAUCCCGCGUGUGCGAUGAAGGCCUUCGGGUUGUAAAGCACUUUUGGCAGGAAAGAAACGUCGCGGGUUAAUACCCCGCGAAACUGACGGUACCUGCAGAAUAAGCACCGGCUAACUACGUGCCAGCAGCCGCGGUAAUACGUAGGGUGCAAGCGUUAAUCGGAAUUACUGGGCGUAAAGCGUGCGCAGGCGGUUCGGAAAGAAAGAUGUGAAAUCCCAGAGCUUAACUUUGGGAACUGCAUUUUUAACUACCGGGCUAGAGUGUGUCAGAGGGGAGGUGGAAUUCCGCGUGUAGCAUGAAAUGCGUAGAUAUGCGGAGGAACACCGAUGGCGAAGGCAGCCUCCUGGGAUAACACUGACGCUCAUGCACGAAAGCGUGGGGAGC
rnacentral:rRNA from 1 species